AUUUUACAAAGUUAGUCAUUCUAUUUCAAAGUCAUUUUUCAUUUUAUUAUUUUAUUUAUAUAACGUUUCUCUUAAUAUAGAAUAGUAUAAUAGUGAACCGUAGAACGAAUUUAGGUUUCCAUGGCUAUUGUAUAGAUUUAUAUCUAAAACCGGGCUAAUCAUAUUUUUGUUUAACGAAAGUGCAGAUAAUGUUAAAAAGGCACUUUUUUGCUUUUUUGGGCCAACAUAUAACGAGAAAGGAGUCUUUUGGCCAGCAUAACGACCCGUACCCAUUGGAGUUUUCAAAUUGAAAAUACAAGUCUUCAUUAAGAUUCGAACCAAGGACCCAAGGUUCAGAAGUCAAAAACUUAACCGCUUUUGAUUUACAAGAACUCGUCAAAGAUGUUCUCCAAGAUGUUCCGCAAGAAAAAAAAUCAAACUGAUAAAAAAAUAUCUACAAAACUCAUCACAGAAAAAAUUAGCUUGAGUGGUGUUGAGUUUUGAG